ACCACGCAGGCGGGAAUAAAAACUCACUCCCCACACCGAAGGAGUACGAGACCGUGAAGGGAGGGCUGUUCUGCUGGGACUGUUCGGGCGGCUUUUAAAGAUUGGAGAUGUUCGGCUCUGUGAUGAGGGGAAAGCCGACCGAGAGGUUGAAGACAGAGGCCAAAGGGGAUAAUGGAUGGGAUCUGGAUUUUUUGAGAAUGUGGAUAUUUCUCCCGGUCCAGGCUUUGCUUUGGGGAUUUCAUUUGAGCCCAGGCUGACUGCUCAGCACACACCUUUUGCCUGCAUCACAUGCCCUACCGAGUCAGACUUAGUAACAGUCACGGGGUCCCCUGCAGGCUCCCUCUGACUGGUCAGCAGGGACCUCCUGGGGUGCCCGGCUACGAGCGCAUCUGCCUGUGCAGCCAGGUGUGGCACAGACCGCCUGGUCAACGCGGCUGUGCUGGGAACGAAGUGUUGCCCUGUGACUCUCCCUGCAGACCGAACCUUCAGACUGGUUCCUCCACUUUCAUGCAAGGGGCUGUUUCUGUGGCUAUUCCAGAACAAUGCUCUAUUCAAAUCUUUAACAGAUUCACCCAUUCUAUGAUGCUUCAAAUGCCUACAAUCUAUUCCUCCUCCUAAAAUUACCUAUGAGAUGAUACACGUUAAGCUUUCAGAACAGAGUCUGGCACAAAAUCUUCUCCAGACUCCCAGCUGGUGUGGAUCAUCCACACUGGCAGCAGAGCCACCCACGGGCCUUCACUGUGUUUUGACACAGUCACCUUUGUUUUUGAGGAGGCCUGGAAAGGGAGGCAGAGGAGCUUUUCUGCGAGUCCUGCCGUGUUUUGUGAGACACCAGGUCCAGGGCAAGGAUCUGGGACUGGUACAGAGAUAAGCGUUGGGCAGAAAGAAUUGUGUAGUCAACUCAGUUUGGCAAAAGCUAAGUUAGAGCACAGUUAAGCCAUCUUUACUGCAGAGGUUCUCAGAGCCUACAAAUGUUAGAGAAGCUAACAAAAGGGAGACGCAUCUGACACAACUGAGAAUCUUCAGAAGUGGGACAAAGUAUGAAGCUCAUCCCACGCAGAUUUACCCUCAAGAUCCUUUGUUCUCGGAACAUCUCACAGGACCGGUGCUCCGGGGAGCAUAGGGUAGGAAAUGCUGUUGCUUCUCAGCGCAAGGGAUUCCUCUCCUCUCCGCAGAAGGAUGGGCAGGAGAAGAGGCCCCCCUUCAGGGCAGCCCGGCCUUGUGAAGAAGCUCUUCCCUCCAAGCCCCAAGAGAACUGCCCCCAGGAUUUGGGAAGGGCUGAGAAGGGGAGGCUGAGGUCUCCUCCUCUGAUCUCUUGCUUAGUCUCCUGAAUUGCUGACCUUUUCCUAUGCCACCAGAGCAAGGGCAAAGAGGGUUGGAGCGGGGUGUGCGGGAUGGUAAGACACAGGAGGGCCGGGACCCCUCAUGGAAGUGAGACCCCAUGUAAAUACAAGGGCCCAGAGGUUGCCACAGAGAGCAGAUGAAACUGGGAGCUUGAGUCUCCCAUACCACCAGGAGAUGGAAUGAAGAGGGACAGACAUCCUAGGAAAGCCACACGAGCCACCAGCUGGGGAUCACUGUGAAGAUGUGGCCUGGUUUCCUAAUGGCCCCAGUGCUAACUCCUUAUCAUUGUUUGGCAGAAAAAUAGAUAUGCGCAGGCUGGAGAAAGAAUAAGGCCAGUGAAGCCCACUGAAUGGGACUCGAAGAGUUAGUCAUUUAAAACUAGAAAGCCAGAAAAGACACACAGUUAAUGAGUUAAUGAGUUGGAGCUCCAAAGGCCAGGAGUAACUUGGAAUAUCUGGAUACCCCCCAGAUAAAGAAAAGUAUCCCGGCGCAGCCCACGUCUUCAUUGUGUCAGUUAGAUGGAGCCAUUGUAGGAUUUACUUCAGCCUGC